UAUUUUUUGGAAUACAUUUUUUUUAUUUUAAAUACCGGAAUUUCGGUGUUUAUAUAUACAACAUGAGAAAACUGGUAACGGUUUUUUAGAAAGAUUUAAAUCUAUAUAGUUUCAAAAAUUUGUACCUAAAUAUUUAGCCGCUCAAUCAUUCUUACUGUAGCGUACUUAAGGAACCACCAUAAUCCCGCAUUAAAUAUUACUCCUCUAUUAGCUUAAUGAAAAUAAAAGCUUUUAAUAAUGAAGCAAUAACUUAAAAAAGCUUUUAAUAUUAUAAAAAACAAAACAACAAAGCAAAUAAAGAUGAAUAAAGAAAAUGUAAAGAACAAAAUGUUAUCAACAGUAAUCAACAGUUGUUUGGGAACGUAGCAUCUCAUGAAUAGCCGGCUGGUUUAAUUCCAUAAAGUUGACGCUAAAUAUUUAGUAACAAAAAAAGUCAAAUUGUUUUUGCUGCAACAAUGAGUUCUGUAAAAGUACCCUACGUAAUCCACAAUAAUGGCAC